rnacentral:tRNA from 1 species
GGAUGCAUAGUAACGUAAUUGGUAGCGUCCCGGCCUGUAAAGUCGGAGCCCUUGUGGCCUUGGAGGUUCAAGUCCUUCUGCAUCCACCA